rnacentral:rRNA from 1 species
CCUGCGGAAGGAUCAUUACCGAGUGUAGGGUUCCUAGCGAGCCCAACCUCCCACCCGUGUUUACUGUACCUUAGUUGCUUCGGCGGGCCCGCCAUUCAUGGCCGCCGGGGGCUCUCAGCCCCGGGCCCGCGCCCGCCGGAGACACCACGAACUCUGUCUGAUCUAGUGAAGUCUGAGUUGAUUGUAUCGCAAUCAGUUAAAACUUUCAACAAUGGAUCUCUUGGUUCCGGCAUCGAUGAAGAACGCAGCGAAAUGCGAUAACUAGUGUGAAUUGCAGAAUUCCGUGAAUCAUCGAGUCUUUGAACGCACAUUGCGCCCCCUGGUAUUCCGGGGGGCAUGCCUGUCCGAGCGUCAUUGCUGCCCAUCAAGCACGGCUUGUGUGUUGGGUCGUCGUCCCCUCUCCGGGGGGGACGGGCCCCAAAGGCAGCGGCGGCACCGCGUCCGAUCCUCGAGCGUAUGGGGCUUUGUCACCCGCUCUGUAGGCCCGGCCGGCGCUUGCCGAACGCAAAUCAAUCUUUUUCCAGGUUGACCUCGGAUCAGGUAGGGAUACCCGCUGAACUUAAGCAUA